rnacentral:tRNA from 1 species
UCAGGCGAUAGCUGCAGUUGGGUAGAGCGGAGGACUGUAGAUUGGUGCAGUGAUCCUUAGGUCGGGGGUUCGAAUCGCCUCGCCGGAG